AAACCAGUCUCGCUGAGUCUCCGAACGGAGAACGGGGGAACCGAAUGACGCGAACGAUUGCGAUCGCAUCAUUGAUUUCUUCCAAGGGUCUAGGGGUGAAUUUUGCGCCAUUUCGCCAUGAGCGGAAUAGGCUCGAAUAGGGCGACUCUCACGUCCGAAUCCGACAGCUAACCUCGUAAGCGUGCAGAGAGAGGUAAC
rnacentral:sRNA from 1 species